UAGGAGUGAGCCUGAGGGCCAAACAGAGCACCUCAAAUGCUUGUACCUAAGCCCAACCAUUCAGGUGCAGUUGAGUAGGUGCCACAUUAAGCUUUCGUAAAUUCAUUAGAGGAGGCAAACAAGCAAAUCGUUGAAUGGUAAACAUACAUGAAGAAGAAGUUUGUAGGACAACUCUCCUUUCCAUGAUAUACUUCAUCGUUCCUCUUACACACCAUUAUGUUGAACAUCUUGGCGAUCCUAUAGCUCAACAAAGCAAGUCUGCUCAGCCCACCACUUUAGCUGAUAUCCC
rnacentral:lncRNA from 1 species